rnacentral:rRNA from 1 species
AACGCGAAGAACCUUACCAGGUCUUGACAUCCCUCUGACCGUCCUAGAGAUAGGGCUUUCCUUCGGGACAGAGGAGACAGGUGGUGCAUGGUUGUCGUCAGCUCGUGUCGUGAGAUGUUGGGUUAAGUCCCGCAACGAGCGCAACCCUUGAACUUAGUUGCCAGCACUUUGGGUGGGCACUCUAGGUUGACUGCCGGUGACAAACCGGAGGAAGGCGGGGAUGACGUCAAAUCAUCAUGCCCCUUAUGACCUGGGCUACACACGUACUACAAUGGCCGGUACAACGGGUCGCGAAGCCGCGAGGCGGAGCCAAUCCCAGCAAAGCCGGUCUCAGUUCGGAUUGCAGGCUGCAACUCGCCUGCAUGAAGUCGGAAUUGCUAGUAAUCGCGGAUCAGCAUGCCGCGGUGAAUACGUUCCCGGGCCUUGUACACACCGUACGUC